UACGUAGGGGGCAAGCGUUGUCCGGAAUUAUUGGGCGUAAAGAGCGCGUAGGCGGUCCGAUAAGUCGGCUGUGAAAGUCCAGGGCUCAACCCUGGAAAGCCGGCCGAUACUGUCGGACUAGAGUCCGGAAGAGGCGAGUGGAAUUCCCGGUGUAGCGGUGAAAUGCGCAGAUAUCAGGAGGAACACCGAUUGCGAAGGCAGCUCGCUGGGACGUAACUGACGCUGAGACGCGAAAGCGUGGGGAGCAAACAGG
rnacentral:rRNA from 1 species